UGUUUAGAAUGUCAGUUUUUGUUUCUAUUGUAAGCAGCUUAAAUUUAUGGCGGUACUUCCCCGAGUUUUAUUCUCAAAUAUACAACGCAAAGAGUAAAAGAGAAAUGCCAGACAAAAAAUGUUGCAAGUAUCGAGGUAAAAAUCUUCCAAUUUCGUAAGUACUGAGUACACAAAGAAAAAAUUGUCUUGCAAGUAUCAAAUAUGUGCAAGAACUGAGUUUCUACUGUAUUAAAGUUUUCUUAAUUUUUUCUCAAAUUGAUCUAAAUUACGGACGCUUCGGAAAUGCAUCACAAUUGGCAAAGCUGUGGAUUUGGCAUAUACUUGUGCUGGUAUUUAAUUUCGAAAAGCCGGUGACUGUAUCGUGACUCGUGAUUUGUAACGAGCUCAUGUUUGGAAUAUAUUCGAUUAAAGUUUUUAGCGCAGUGUUUUCGCAAAUGCAUAUAGUCCCAAUAUUUAACUCUAGACCACUAAAAACAGUGUUACUCUCGCAUUAAUCGUACGUCUCACAGACUACAAAUUAAGAUACAUAUUUUUAUAUUUCUUUUUGUUUUUUUAUUUCAAACAAAUGAGUGUAAAUUAAGAAAAAUAGUAUAUUAUUUUCAUUUAACCAUUUAUGACAGAUCUGUUAGAGAGGCGGUGUGACGGAUACCUGUCGAAAAACUCAAAAAAUAGAUAAUUAGCGCGUACACUUCUGUUAGGUGUUUGGCCGAGCUCCUCCUCUUAUUUGUGGUGUGCGUCUUGAUGUUGUUCCACAAUUGGAGCGAGCUACAGUUUUAACCCAACUCCGGACGGUAAAUGAUUUUUAUGAGGAACUUUUGUGCGUUUCACACCGUUUAUUCUGUUUCGCGCAUUCCUGACACCUUCGUUGAGGCUCUUGUUUACUUUUUAUAAGAGGAAUUUUUCUUGGCAGCAUUCCCCGUAUGUAUGGGGAAGAUUUAUGCUGCUGUUGUUGUAGCAUAAACUAGGUAUGGAUCGAAUUGGACAAUAGAACACAGCCCCAUUUAUUUCAUUUUUACACAAUUUAUGGUUACGAAUCUCAAGUAUUUAUGCUGACUAUCAAGCAAUGAAAAAUGCGGAUCUCAAUUAAUCGUUAUAUUUUUAAUCCGACUGCUUAGAGCACGAAUAAGUUAUUUAGCUACAUAAUUAAGCAAAAUACUAGCGAAGAAAAUAUGUACACCCGUGUUCAAAAUAAGGGUAGUGUGACGAGGUUCCAAGUUCCAAAUAUCUUUUUUUUUUAUAUCCUUUUUAAAUAAAAUAAUGUAGUAGGUGUAUUUAGCUUCAAACUUUAAACAAAAUUCACCAAAAUUUAACUAAUUUAAAAAAAUUGUCAUAAAAAUUUUCAACUUUUUGUAAGCUUGAUUAAAGUAUUAAUGUUUAGCGUACUUUCUCCUAACGGACACCUCCGCUCUGUAUAUACAUAUAAGUUCGAUAGAGCCAAAUUUUUUACAAAUUAUUUUGCCGAAUUUUGAACAAUUUUAACGAAUUUUUGUUUCUAAAUUUUCAAAUUUCUAUUUCUGAUUCCCGACAAAGCUUAGAAUAGAUAUAUAGUUUAUGGCUGAUCUUUCGGUUAUUCCAGACGCAUUUUCUAACUUUAAACCUUAAUUUAUAAGCAGUUCAUUCACACUUCCAUUUUAAGCUUAGUUUAUUGGUACAGUAAACAGAAAGCCGCUAUAACAUGUUGCCUUAAUAACCCUGUUUGCAAAGCUGCGCUGCCACGUGCUGUCGAUCUUGCAGUGCUGCUGUAAUACUGCAUUCAUGAACAUACCCAAGCAUACCUGUAGUUAAUGUGGUUUGAAAAUUCUCAUCUCGGUUCCAUUAACUUCUCUUCCUUCUCCAGGAAGUAUUUGUUGAACUCACUUUAAGGCCAGCAAAUACCCGUUAGAGUAGUGAGCAGCGCAAAAACAAAUCGGCAAAUAUUGAAAUCAGAGAGCAUGGCUGCUCACCAUAUUCCCGCCCAAUGGAGCACACAGCGAACAUGCACACAGAGAACAAUUCUUAAAAUAAAUUUUUCUUUUGUUUCCAAAAUUUUAACAGUAAGCCGAAAAUAUUGGGCGUGUCUCUCUAAUAUAAGUUCGUGCAAUUUAUGUCGAAAAAAACGUUUAGAAGAGAUUUGGUUCAAAACACAAAAACCCUUUGUAAAUCGGAGCAUUAUGUGCCUAGCUGGGAUAAGUGCUGGGCCGAGCUCCUCCUCCUAUUUGUGGCGUGCGUCUUGAUGCUUGACUCCGAACGGCAAACGAGCUUUUUCAUGGCAGAAAUGCACUCUGAAGUUUACUUUUUUCAAUAAUUUUGCUGUUUCAUGCGCGGAGAUUCGAACGUACACACCCCUGAAUGGUAGUCACAAUGGAUGCACUGUAUUUGCAGAUGGAUUUUCCCAUUCUCAACCUUCAACGGCACCCACAAGAAUAUUUUGUUACUUUUUCUAAAUCGAAUGAUUACUGAACUGGAUCUUCAUCUAAGCAGCGUACUCAAUGGCCCAAGGGCUCCACAAAUAUAAGAGAACACAACGUAUAAAACCGCCAUCAAAUCCGUUCAAUGAGAAUUAGAUGAUUUUGAAAAAAUUAUGUUUCUCUUUCAGUUAAAUUUUCUUCAUGCUGGUUGAUCGUUCUAUUUUACUUUUCCUUUAUGGUUUUAAGAUAAUGCCCAAGUUGAAAAAUGAGAAUCUGUGCAUUUUUAGUUGCAUUAAUAAUCCAAAAAUAGUCUCAAUUAGCAACAUAAAAAGAUUAGUUACAAUCAUUUUUGAUAAGUAGAAGUGGGUAAAAAUCAGUUAUCCUGGCAACACUCGAGAAACGACUUUCUGUCAAGUUGUAUUGUUAGAUUUGAUUUUUUAUUAAUUUCGAAACUUUUGAGUCAAAUACAUUUUUUUUCUAAUUUUACUCAAUAAGAAACUCAAUUACUCAAUUUCAACUAAAUUUUUAAUUAUUUAAAAUUUGUAUUAAUUCAUUAAAAUUUUUAUUAAUUAAAUUCGAAAAUUGAAAAGAAAAAUGUCAACCAGUGGAACCAAGAGAAAUUUGUUAUGUUGAUGAAUUUCGUAAAUUUAUUGUAUCCAUUUGACUUAACUAAACAACUCACAACAAUUGGAAAAUUUUCAUAAUUUUUAUAGUUUUCCGCCCAGUGCAUUAUGCAAAUGUUUCGGAAAAUGGAGUUGGAAGUUACUCAAAUGUGUAUGAACUUUUAUUUCAUAUAAAUUAAUGUCUGUAUAUAUAUUAUCCCAACUAAAACAAGGCUAUUUAUUUCAAAAAUUCUAAACAAAAAAAGCUUGUAAAUAUCUUCUAAGAUAUAUGAAAAAUAAAUUAAUGAGUGUGAGUGUGCCAGAAUCCGAAAAACUGUGCACAUACGUAAAUAUAUGUACAUUGUAUAUAUAAAUAUAUAUAUAAAAGAGGUAUAUGGUUAAGUGUGAAUAUUUAGAAUAAAAAGGAGAUGGAGAAAAAACUAAAAGCUGUGUUCUUAUUUAUUUGCAUUAUAAAGCAGAGAACUCUAAAGGGGUUCUUUUGGCAAACCAACAUUUUUUAUUUUAUAUUUGACCCUUUUUGGGUGUUUGGUCGAGCUUCUCCUCCUUUUUGUGG